GCCGAGCAACAACACUUAAGUUGGUAAAGCAUGAGACUCUUAAUCUCAAGGUUGUGGGUUCAAGCUCCAUGUUGGGCA